GGGGACUACCGGGACGUCUUCCUGCACUGCAGACUCAGCCUGUGUGACCAGAGGAGCUCCUCCUGCACUCCAAUGUGCACCAAAAGGAAAUACCGCUCUGUCACCCCCUCUGUCCCCCUCGAACCCCUCACCAUCGGACCAAUCACCUGGUCCCAAAAUGAAGAUUGAACUUGUCAGGCUUCCUGUAUCCUAAACAAUGAAUCCAGUUAUCUAAAUGAUUAAUGUAAAGUUCAUAAACCUAUCUCACCUAUACCUCAUUUAUGUCCUAAACCAGGCCAUUUAAUAUUUAAUAUCUUACAUACAUCCAGUUAUAAAUAAUGAUAUUUUAAGGAUAUUUUUAUAUUUUUCUUACAACUAGGAUAAUUGGGAAAACAUUUCUAUUUGAACCAACACAAAUUCAUUGUUGAACCUUUAACUAAGGCUUGAGGCCAGAAAGUGUAUGUGCUGGUCACUAAUGUUUGUAACUUUAAAAUAAAUGGACAUUUAGUUGGGAUUAUAUCAAGACAAACAUCUCCCUUUCCUAGUUCACACUGCAGCAAGAACUUCUAUUUGAAAGAAUAUAUUAUUUCAUCCUAUUGCUCUAAAAUGCUUUGUAUGUGCAGUAAUUUAAU